UACGUAGGGGGCAAGCGUUGUCCGGAUUUAUUGGGCGUAAAGAGCGUGUAGGCGGUUUGGUAGGUCCGCUGUGAAAACUCGAGCUCAACCUCGAGACGCCGGUGGAAACCAUCAGACUAGAGUCCGGAAGAGGAGAGUGGAAUUCCUGGUGUAGCGGUGGAAUGCGCAGAUAUCAGGAAGAACACCCGUGGCUAAGGCGGCUCUCUAGUACGGUACUGACGCUGAGACGCGAAAGCGUGGGGAGCGAACAGG
rnacentral:rRNA from 1 species